rnacentral:other from 1 species
UAUCUUCUGUGAUGCACGUUAUCUACUCGUGGUAACUUGAGCCGAUAAGAUAUAUCGCAGGGAAUCUGAAAGUAGUGUUGUUGAGCAUGUCCGUCCACGCGGAAAGCCUGAUACGCUAUCUAAGGUACCCACUUGAACUUCUGGUUCAAGUUCAAUGUAUGAGACGACAUUACGGUUGAUAC